GCCGGAGUGGCGAAAUGGCAGACGCGCUGGACUCAAAAUCCAGUGGUGGCAACACCUUGUGGGUUCAACUCCCUCCUCCGGCACCA
rnacentral:tRNA from 1 species